GCACUGCUGAGGAGUCCCACAAAAGGACUAAACGACCGUCUAGUGC
rnacentral:hammerhead_ribozyme from 1 species